UGGGGAAUUUUCCGCAAUGGGCGAAAGCCUGACGGAGCAAGACCGCGUGAGGGAGGAAGGCUCUUGGGUUGUAAACCUCUUUUCUCAGGGAAGAAGCUCUGACGGUACCUGAGGAAUCAGCCUCGGCUAACUCCGUGCCAGCAGCCGCGGUAAUACGGAGGAGGCAAGCGUUAUCCGGAAUUAUUGGGCGUAAAGCGUCCGCAGGUGGCGAUUCAAGUCUGCUGUCAAAGCACGGGGCUUAACUCCGUUAAGGCAGUGGAAACUGAAUGGCUAGAGUGCCGUAGGGGUAGAGGGAAUUCCCGGUGUAGCGGUGAAAUGCGUAGAGAUCGGGAAGAACAUCGGUGGCGAAAGCGCUCUACUGGACGGCAACUGACACUCAGGGACGAAAGCUAGGGGAGCGAAUG
rnacentral:rRNA from 1 species